rnacentral:rRNA from 1 species
UGGGGGAUAUUGGUCAAUGGGGGAAACCCUGAACCAGCAACGCCGCGUGAGGGAAGACGGCCUUCGGGUUGUAAACCUAAGUGAUCAGGGACGAAGGAAGUGACGGUACCUGAAAAGCAAGCUCCGGCUAACUACGUGCCAGCAGCCGCGGUAAUACGUAGGGAGCGAGCGUUGUCCGGAUUUACUGGGUGUAAAGGGUGCGUAGGCGGGAAAGCAAGUCAGGUGUGAAAUACCGGGGCUCAACUCCGGGGCUGCGCUUGAAACUAUUUUUCUUGAGUGAAGUAGAGGCAGGCGGAAUUCCUAGUGUAGCGGUGGAAUGCGUAGAUAUUAGGAGGAACACCAGUGGCGAAGGCGGCCUGCUGGGCUUUAACUGACGCUGAGGCACGAAAGCAUGGGGAGCAAACAGGAUUAGAUACCCUGGUAGUCCAUGCUGUAAACGAUGAUUGCUAGGUGUGGGGGGACUGACCCCUUCCGUGCCGGAGUAAACACAAUAAGCAAUCCACCUGGGGAGUACGACCGCAAGGUUGAAACUCAAAGGAAUUGACGGGGGCCCGCACAAGCAGUGGAGUAUGUGGAUUAAUUCAACGCAACGCGAAGAACCUUACCAGGUCUUGACAUCCGACUAACGAAGCAGAGAUGCAUUAGGUGCCCUUCGGGGAAAGUCGAGACAGGUGGUGCAUGGUUGUCGUCAGCUCGUGUCGUGAGAUGUUGGGUUAAGUCCCGCAACGAGCGCAACCCUUGUUGUUAGUUGCUACGGAAGAGCACUCUAACGAGACUGCCGUUGACAAAACGGAGGAAGGUGGGGACGACGUCAAAUCAUCAUGCCCCUUAUGACCUGGGCUACACACGUACUACAAUGGACAUUAACAGAGGGAAGCAAUACAGUGAUGUGGGGCAAACCCCUAAAAAUGUUCUCAGUUCAGAUUGCAGGCUGCAACCCGCCUGUAUGAAGAUGGAAUUGCUAGUAAUCGCAGAUCAGCAUGCUGCGGUGAAUACGUUCCC